GGAUUUGUGACCUGUGCACAUCCAAUAAGCAGCAUGAAAAAGAAGAAUGAUUUGAAGUUAGCUUGGGCCUUGAAUUAAAGGCUAAUCACUCAUAAUACCAAUGAAAUAGGUUACAAAUUCCUCUAGAAAAGAAAUCUAUUCGACUCUGACAAAAAUUUCCAAAAAGAAGGAAAUCCUAAAUAUGAUGAAAAGUAACUUAAGGGAGAGAUAGUUCAUUUUGGACUUUGUAGAAAAAUACAGUAUAUAUCAAUUAGCUUUCAGUGGACAUGUAAGAGCACUUCCCUAUCCACACAGUUUCAAUCAAAUUUUAAAGAGACUUCAUAAAACCAAGAGCUUUUAUGGCCUUGCAUAUUCUGGCCAAGCUACAACUUCUG
rnacentral:misc_RNA from 1 species